rnacentral:rRNA from 1 species
GACAAACGCUGGCGGCGUGCCUAACACAUGCAAGUCGAACGAAGCACUGCGGAAAGAGACUUCGGUCAAUUGAAGCUUUGACUUAGUGGCGGACGGGUGAGUAAUGCAUGAGCAACCUGCCCUGGAGAGGGGGACAACAGCUGGAAACGGCUGCUAAUACCGCAUGAUGUUGCGGGGAGGCAUCUUCCUGCAACCAAAGAUUUAUCGCUCUGGGAUGGGCUCAUGUCUGAUUAGUUAGUUGGCGGGGCAACGGCCCACCAAGACUUCGAUCAGUAGCCGGACUGAGAGGUUGAACGGCCACAUUGGGACUGAGAUACGGCCCAGACUCCUACGGGAGGCAGCAGUGGGGAAUAUUGGGCAAUGGGCGCAAGCCUGACCCAGCAACGCCGCGUGAAGGAAGAAGGCUUUCGGGUUGUAAACUUCUUUUAUCAGGGACGAAGAAAGUGACGGUACCUGAUGAAUAAGCCACGGCUAACUACGUGCCAGCAGCCGCGGUAAUACGUAGGUGGCGAGCGUUGUCCGGAUUUACUGGGUGUAAAGGGCGCGUAGGCGGGAUGACAAGUCAGGUGUGAAAUCUAUGGGCUCAACCCAUAAACUGCACUUGAAACUGUUGUUCUUGAGUGUCGGAGAGGUAGAUGGAAUUCCUAGUGUAGCGGUGAAAUGCGUAGAUAUUAGGAGGAACACCAGUGGCGAAGGCGAUCUACUGGACGAUAACUGACGCUGAGGCGCGAAAGCGUGGGGAGCAAACA